CCUACGGGGGGCAGCAGUGGGGAAUAUUGCACAAUGGGGGAAACCCUGAUGCAGCGACGCCGCGUGAGUGAAGAAGUAUUUCGGUAUGUAAAGCUCUAUCAGCAGGAACGAGACAAGACGGUACCUGACUAAGAAGCCCCGGCUAACUACGUGCCAGCAGCCGCGGUAAUACGUAGGGGGCAAGCGUUAUCCGGAAUCACGGGGUGUAAAGGGAGCGUAGACGGCUGUGAAAGCCUGAAGUGAAAGGCGGGGGCCCAACCCCUGGACUGCUUUGGGAACUGUACGGCUGGAGUGCAGGGGGGGUAAGUGGAAUUCCUAGUGUAGCGGUGAAAGGCGUAGAUAUUAGGAGGAACACCAGGGGCGAGGGCGGUUAACUGGACUGUAACGGACGUGGAGGCUCGAAAGCGUGGGGAGAAACAGGAUUAGAUACCCUGGUAGUC
rnacentral:rRNA from 1 species